UCGUGGUGUGAACUGUCUGCUUAAUUGCGUUAACGAACGAGAUCAAAACAUGAUAAAUAGAGAUUGCGACGCGAGCUGGAGUUGCUCGACGGCGUGUGUGGGCAAGCGUGUAACAGCGUUUGUUGCGCUGCGCUAGUGACGGCGGAUUGCUGCCGGGAUUCCAACUACACUACUUGAUCGUUUGCAGUUUGCCUGAACAGCUAAUUUAUCCUUUCG
rnacentral:rRNA from 1 species